rnacentral:rRNA from 1 species
UACGUAGGGGGCUAGCGUUGUCCGGAAUUAUUGGGCGUAAAGAGCGUGUAGGCGGUUCGAUAGGUUUGCUGUGAAAGUCAGGGGCUCAACCCCUGAAUGCCGGUGAAAACUAUCGGACUAGAGUACGGAAGAGGCGAGUGGAAUUCCUGGUGUAGCGGUGAAAUGCGCAGAUAUCAGGAGGAACACCAAUUGCGAAGGCAGCUCGCUGGUACGUAACUGACGCUGAGACGCGAAAGCGUGGGGAGCAAACAGG